CAGGAUGAACGCUAGCGACAGGCUAACACAUGCAAGUCGAGGGGUAACAGGGUAGCAAUACCGCUGACGACCGGCGCACGGGUGAGUAACGCGUAUGCAACCUGCCUAUAACUGGGGAAUAGCUCCCUGAAAGGGGAAUUAACACCGCAUAACACUAUUGAUUCGCAUGGAUUGGUAGUUAUAUGUAGCGAUACAGGUUAUAGAUGGGCAUGCGUGACAUUAGCUAGUUGGUGAGGUAACGGCUCACCAAGGCUACGAUGUCUAGGGGUUCUGAGAGGAAGGUCCCCCACACUGGUACUGAGACACGGACCAGACUCCUACGGGAGGCAGCAGUGAGGAAUAUUGGUCAAUGGGCGCAAGCCUGAACCAGCCAUGUCGCGUGCAGGAAGAACCUGCCCUAUGGGUUGUAAACUGCUUUUAUAGUAGAAGAAACACAUCUACGUGUAGAUGUCUGCCAGUAUACUAUGAAUAAGCAUCGGCUAACUCCGUGCCAGCCGCCGC
rnacentral:rRNA from 1 species